CACGUAGGGUGCGAGCGUUGUCCGGAAUUAUUGGGCGUAAAGAGCUCGUAGGCGGUGUGUCGCGUCGGCCGUGAAAACCUGCAGCUUAACUGUGGGCUUGCGGUCGAUACGGGCGGGCUGGAGUUCGGUAGGGGAGACUGGAAUUCCUGGUGUAGCGGUGAAAUGCGCAGAUAUCAGGAGGAACACCGAUGGCGAAGGCAGGUCUCUGGGCCACUACUGACGCUGAGAAGCGAAAGCGUGGGGAGCGAACAGG
rnacentral:rRNA from 1 species